UCUAAAACUGUAUGUGUAAAAAAAUAAAAAUCGGCCAAACACGUUUAGUCAGAUUUGGGGAAUAAUAAUCAGUGAAGACCAUCGGCUCUGUGUUGAUUACAAAAUCUGGCAGUUAGCAGAAUAAAUUACAGGCUUGAAAGCUGGCUGAAACUCCUAAAGCAAGAGUCCAGCCUUUGGCAGAAAGGCAUGAUGGGUCUUAUUGCACAGUGGCUCUUAUGUGUCCAGAACCUGUUGUGCUGUUGGCAUCAAAUAACACACAAAUAGCUGGUCUGCAUGGCGAGCUGCUACCUGAACUACCAUUCAGAGUUAAGAGCUGUGGAGGAACAGAUCUAUACAGGCAUUCAGCGUGAAGAGUUGAAAAUCACUAAAUGCAACUUUAUAGUUAGAGUGGAAAUGGGAACUGCAAUACACACGUCAGCCAUUAGAUAAACUGGUGCGAACAUGGUGGACUUGCUUAUUAUGAAACAUUAGUCCAACUGCUGCUGUAAUAACUGGCAUUACUGUCAUCAUUAUUACAACACAUCUAUACCAGGAGCUCCUUUGAGUUGGACAUGGCAGGAACCCCUCUAGAGACAGGCAUUGAGGUAUUCUAAUCAGACAGCCAAACCACCUCAACAGGCUCCUUUCUAUACCAACAGAAGUGGUUUUACUUUGAGUUUUUGCAAGAUGUCAAAACUCCUCACCCUGUCCUUAAAGGCAAUCCCACAACCCUCUGAAACAAGCCCAUUUCUUUGCUUGUAGCCAUAUUUUUUUGAGGCAUGAUUCAACUUUCAUGACCAUACCUCAUGGUUGGAAUGUAGAUACUUCAACACAACAUUCUAAAGUAACACCGGGAUCAUGCUGCUGAUAUUGCCCCAGUGUAUUUGUCUUUUUUUUUCCAUCACUUUUCCAUCACUUUCCACACCCCAAAAUAAUCAGUGUUUCACCCUUGUCCAUACCGCUAGAAUUACUUUGUGUGAAACGAGUGAUUACUUACGGCCAACCAAGUGAGGCAUACCACUUACAUUGUGCCAAAACACCAACUGCACCCCUUCAGCCAUGUGGCGCUCUUUCAGGAGCAACACUGCCAUCCUGUGCGUAUGCCCUCAAUGAAACCAAAAUCAAAUCAAUUUCAUUUAUAUAGCGCCAAAUCACAACAAACAGUUGCCCCAAGGCGCUUCAUAUUGCAAGGCAAAGCCAUACAAUAAUUACAGAAAAACCCCAACUGUCAAAACGAUCCCCUGUGAGCAAGCACUUGGCGACAGUGGGAAGGAAACCAAGAGGAUAGAUAUAAGCCUGGAGACUGUUGGCUAGUCUUUGGGCACCUCAAAACACUUGGACAUAGGUAAGAGAACGCUGCUACUAGCACCCCCUAGUCACCUCAUCCUGGUCUCACUAGAAGUAGUGUUGGGUAUAACUAUAUUGAGUAUUUUUGGCUUUGGAAUCACUGACCUACAAGGACUGAGCAGUAGAUCGAGCUGCAGCGAGAAGACUACAAUCUACCAAUAACCCAAAGGUUAUGUAGAGAUGGUACAAAUGUUCAGAUGGACAUACAGGUAUGGGGUGUAUGCCUAAGAUGUAGCAAUUAAAAUUGUGAUGUAGGUGGGGACACAGGCGCUGCAAUAUAAGGAAAUGACAGGCCACACAACACUCUCAUCCUUCACCCACAUGACUGAGCCCCACACCUGCACCUCAAUCACUGCAUAUCUAACAUGCAAUCAAAAUGUAAAAUAGGUCCAACAUUUGCAAGUAUACCAGGGUGCAGUUUUGCUGUGCUGCAUGGGGAAUCAGUUCCUAGUAGUGCCUCCCAAGGCAAAUUGGUCACAUCCGAGGGCCUGACUGAAUGUGGUUAUAGAUCAGGGGAAAACCUUCUUCAGUUACCUCAGCUGGGAUAUGGAGAACCCUUUUGUGUAGCCAGACCUGGGAAGGAGAAUUCGUUGGCAGGUUCAGCU